AUGGGGAAAUUAAUUAGCGGUCAUCCAUGUCUGAAUUUGACACUAGUUCUCACGACAACAACCCUCACUUCCUCAGGGAUCGACCACAUCGCCGUGGACAUGAAGGACCAGAAGAUGACGGUCGUCGGCACCGUCGACCCCAUCGCCGUCGUGGCCAGGCUGCGCAGCAAGCCCUUCCCCACGGCGCAGAUCUUCUCCGUCGGCCCGGCCAAGGAGGAGAAGAAGGACGUCGACAAGAACGACGCGGGCAAGCCGGUGGAGUACCCGACGUACUGGUAUCCGCCGCCGCCGUACCACCCGCACCUGUACCACCUCGCUCACAGCGCCGAGGAGGACCCCAACUCGUGCAUUAUCUGUUGA
rnacentral:rRNA from 1 species